rnacentral:misc_RNA from 1 species
UUUCCGUAGGUGAACCUGCGUAAGGAUCAUUAUUGUAUAACCGAGGUGCGAGGGCUGUCGCUGACCCGAAAGGUCGUGCACGCCCGAGUGCCCUCACACCCUUCCAUCUCACCCCUAUGUGCACCACCGCGUGGGUCCCCCUUUGGCGUGUUCGGAGGGGGGCUUACGUUUUCACACAAACUUUGUAUGCAGUGUAGAAUGUAUUUUUUGUUUUUGCGAUCACGCAAUCAAUACAACUUUCAACAACGGAUCUCUUGGCUCUC